rnacentral:lncRNA from 1 species
GAAAAUCUAAUGGCUCAUUCAGUUUCUAAUGAUCCAAAUGUGUCAAAAGAUGAUGGCCUGAGGGAAGUUUUGCCAAAGACAAACCUGAAGGAAGUUUUUCCAAAGACAAGCCUGAAGGAAGUUUUGCCAAAGACAACAGCUGUGGAUUCAACUUCUAAAAGUAGCAAAGAUGUUGAUAUUGGGAUUGCAGCUCGAGGCGUAGGAGUACUUCUCUCUUCUGUUGACCUCAAUCUUCCACCGGUUGAUUCUGCUCCAUCUGGAAGCACCAUGAGCAUUGCUCCUCCUGCAUCCAAUAUUACAGCUGGUGAUGACCGGAUGGAUGCUAAUGAGAAUAAUGUUCAUCAAACUACCAGUGUUC